CUAAUACAUGCAAGUAGAACGCUGAAGGAGGAGCUUGCUUCUCUGGAUGAGUUGCGAACGGGUGAGUAACGCGUAGGUAACCUGCCUGGUAGCGGGGGAUAACUAUUGGAAACGAUAGCUAAUACCGCAUAACAGUAGAUGUUGCAUGACAUUUGCUUAAAAGGUGCAAUUGCAUCACUACCAGAUGGACCUGCGUUGUAUUAGCUAGUUGGUGGGGUAACGGCUCACCAAGGCGACGAUACAUAGCCGACCUGAGAGGGUGAUCGGCCACACUGGGACUGAGACACGGCCCAGACUCCUACGGGAGGCAGCAGUAGGGAAUCUUCGGCAAUGGACGGAAGUCUGACCGAGCAACGCCGCGUGAGUGAAGAAGGUUUUCGGAUCGUAAAGCUCUGUUGUAAGAGAAGAACGAGUGUGAGAGUGGAAAGUUCACACUGUGACGGUAUCUUACCAGAAAGGGACGGCUAACUACGUGCCAGCAGCCGCGGUAAUACGUAGGUCCCGAGCGUUGUCCGGAUUUAUUGGGCGUAAAGCGAGCGCAGGCGGUUAGAUAAGUCUGAAGUUAAAGGCUGUGGCUUAACCAUAGUACGCUUUGGAAACUGUUUAACUUGAGUGCAAGAGGGGAGAGUGGAAUUCCAUGUGUAGCGGUGAAAUGCGUAG
rnacentral:rRNA from 1 species